rnacentral:rRNA from 1 species
UACGUAGGGUGCAAGCGUUGUCCGGAAUUAUUGGGCGUAAAGAGCUCGUAGGCGGUUCGACAAGUCGGGUGUGAAAACUCCGGGCUCAACCCGGAGACGCCACCCGAUACUGUCGUGACUGGAGUCCGGUAGGGGAGAGUGGAAUUCCUGGUGUAGCGGUGAAAUGCGCAGAUAUCAGGAAGAACACCCGUGGCGAAAGCGGCUCUCUGGAACGGUACUGACGCUGAGACGCGAAAGCGUGGGGAGCGAACAGG